rnacentral:rRNA from 1 species
CGUUAGCGGCGGACGGGUGAGUAACACGUGGGUAACCUACCUAUAAGACUGGGAUAACUUCGGGAAACCGGAGCUAAUACCGGAUAAUAUUUCGAACCGCAUGGUUCGAUAGUGAAAGAUGGUUUUGCUAUCACUUAUAGAUGGACCUGCGCCGUAUUAGCUAGUUGGUAAGGUAACGGCUUACCAAGGCGACGAUACGUAGCCGACCUGAGAGGGUGAUCGGCCACACUGGAACUGAGACACGGUCCAGACUCCUACGGGAGGCAGCAGCC